GAUGAACGCUGGCGGCGUGCCUAAUACACGCAAGUCGAGCGAACGGACGAGAAUCUUGCUUCUCUGAUGUUAGCGGCGGACGGGUGAGUAACACGUGGAUAACCUACCUUUAAGACUGGGAUAACUUCGGGAAACCGGAGCUAAUACCGGAUAAUAUUUUGAACCGCAUGGUUCAAAAGUGAAAGACGGUCUUGCUGUCACUUAUAGAUGGAUCCGCGCUGCAUUAGCUAGUUGGUAAGGUAACGGCUUACCAAGGCAACGAUGCAUAGCCGACCUGAGAGGGUGAUCGGCCACACUGGAACUGAGACACGGUCCAGACUCCUACGGGAGGCAGCAGUAGGGAAUCUUCCGCAAUGGGCGAAAGCCUGACGGAGCAACGCCGCGUGAGUGAUGAAGGUCUUCGGAUCGUAAAACUCUGUUAUUAGGGAAGAACAUAUGUGUAAGUGACUGUGCACAUCUUGACGGUACCUAAUCAGAAAGCCACGGCUAACUACGUG
rnacentral:rRNA from 1 species